rnacentral:rRNA from 1 species
UAGUUUGAUCCUGGCUCAGAAUCAACGCUGGCGGCGUGCCUAACACAUGCAAGUCGAACGCGAAAGGGGCUUCGGCCCCGAGUAGAGUGGCGAACGGGUGAGUAACACGUGGGUGAUCUACCUUUGAGUGGGGGAUAACGUUCCGAAAGGAGCGCUAAUACCGCAUGACGUUCUGGGUUUGAAGGCCUGGAAACCAAAGCUGGGGCCCUUGGGGAAACCUAAGGCCUGGCGCUUAGAGAGGAGCCCGCGCCUGAUUAGCUAGUUGGUGAGGUAAUGGCUCACCAAGGCGACGAUCAGUAGCCGGCCUGAGAGGGCGGACGGCCACACUGGGACUGAGACACGGCCCAGACUCCUACGGGAGGCGGCAGUGGGGAAUUGUUCGCAAUGGGCGCAAGCCUGACGACGCAACGCCGCGUGGAGGAUGAAGGUCUUCGGAUUGUAAACUCCUGUUGACCGGGAAGAAUAGGUUUCGGCCGAAUACGCCGGGACAAUGACGGUACCGGUUGAGGAAGCCACGGCUAACUCUGUGCCAGCAGCCGCGGUAAUACAGAGGUGGCAAGCGUUGUUCGGAAUUACUGGGCGUAAAGGGCGCGUAGGCGGCCUUGUCAGUCAGACGUGAAAUCCCCAGGCUUAACCUGGGAACUGCGUCUGAUACUACAAGGCUCGAGUGCGGGAGAGGGAUGUGGAAUUCCAGGUGUAGCGGUGAAAUGCGUAGAUAUCUGGAGGAACACCGGUGGCGAAAGCGGCAUCCUGGACCGACACUGACGCUGAGGCGCGAAAGCUAGGGGAGCAAACGGGAUU